rnacentral:rRNA from 1 species
AUUGAACGCUGGCGGCAGGCCUAACACAUGCAAGUCGAGCGGUAGAGAGGUGCUUGCAUCUCUUGAGAGCGGCGGACGGGUGAGUAAUGCCUAGGAAUCUGCCUAGUGGUGGGGGAUAACGUUCGGAAACGGACGCUAAUACCGCAUACGUCCUACGGGAGAAAGCGGGGAUCUUCGGACCUCGCGCCAUUAGAUGAGCCUAGGUCGGAUUAGCUAGUUGGUGAGGUAAUGGCUCACCAAGGCGACGAUCCGUAACUGGUCUGAGAGGAUGAUCAGUCACACUGGAACUGAGACACGGUCCAGACUCCUACGGGAGGCAGCAGUGGGGAAUAUUGGACAAUGGGCGAAGCCUGAUCCAGCCAUGCCGCGUGUGUGAAGAAGGUCUUCGGAUUGUAAAGCACUUUAAGUUGGGUAGGAAGGGUAGGUAACCUAAUACGUUGCUACUUUGACGUUACCGACAGAAUAAGCACCGGCUAACUUCGUGCCAGCAGCCG